rnacentral:rRNA from 1 species
GAUGAACGCUAGCUACAGGCUUAACACAUGCAAGUCGAGGGGAAACGGCAUUGAGUGCUUGCACUCUUUGGACGUCGACCGGCGCACGGGUGAGUAACGCGUAUCCAACCUUCCCAUUACUGUGGGAUAACCUGCCGAAAGGCAGACUAAUACCGCAUAGUCUUCGAUGACGGCAUCAGAUUUGAAGUAAAGAUUUAUCGGUAAUGGAUGGGGAUGCGUCUGAUUAGCUUGUUGGCGGGGUAACGGCCCACCAAGGCUACGAUCAGUAGGGGUUCUGAGAGGAAGGUCCCCAACAUUGGAACUGAGACACGGUCCAAACUCCUACGGGAGGCAGCAGUGAGGAAUAUUGGUCAAUGGACGGAAGUCUGAACCAGCCAAGUAGCGUGCAGGAUGACGGCCCUAUGGGUUGUAAACUGCUUUUGGAUGGGGAUAAAGUUAGGGACGUGUCCCUAUUUGCAGGUACCAUACGAAUAAGGACCGGCUAAUUCCGUG